rnacentral:rRNA from 1 species
AUGUGGUGGGUCCAAUCACAUAGGGUGAACAAAUCGAGAAAUAAGAAUGACAGUGAUCCUCCCGGCUCCUCAGCCGUUUGGAUUCCUGGCCGUCGGAUCUGGUUGCUUGAUCGGAUCUGGGCCAUCGGAUCGAGUCCUUGGAAGACCUCGACCCCGCUCGCCCCGCCCUGUCGUCUCGCCAGUCCCGCCGCCCCGCCAUCUCACCUACCCCGCCCCGCCCCGCCCGUCCCGCUCGCCGUGGCCGAGGCCGAUGACCGCGGCCCCGCCGUCCCGCCCUGCCCGCCGCGGCGGCCAUGGACGAGCUCGAGCUCGAUGGGGAAGCAACGGGCCGCCCCGCCCGUCCCGCUCGCCGUGGCCUUCGCCGAUGACCGCGGCCCCGCGCAGCACAGCGCCGAGCUCGCCUCGCUCUGUUGUGUCCUCUCCUCCUGCCAGAUUCGCCGCUCACGGCCACCACCACUCACCCGCGACCCUGCCUCGUGGUUAGGGUUUCGGGUGUUCGCUCCAACACCGGCGGCCAUGGGGCUGCGCCUCCUCUCUGCCUCUGGUUGGAUUAUUGUUGAUGGGGUGUCGAGACAUGUGUCUGAACUACCUCAUGUGACUGAUGAAAGAGGGCAGGUGGCCGACCUCCUUGAUAUCCAUGCCAUAAUAACUGCAAUCUUGAGAUAUGGAUUCAGAGAUACUGUAACCAUAUAUGCAAUUUCUUCUAGCACCUGCGCCUACGGCGACCUCGACAUAGUCAAGGAGAUUCUAAAAAACUUAGCAAUGGCAGGGCUCCUGGAGCUCAAUCCUCACCACCACCAGCAGAUGAUGACGAUGCACAAGUGGAUGGUCCAUCUGAAGAUGGCGCAGCAGAGCACCGACAGCAACCACAUCAUGAAAGGGUCGAGGGAAGAUUAUCUGAUGUGUGUCACUGAAAACGAAGAAGAACCAUAUAAAUCAGUAUCCGGCGACGGUGACGCGGGGGCAGGCACAAGGAGGGGUGGUGAGCCUCCGGCGGCUGGGUUCCCCCCGAUCGCCCGGGUUGGGCGACACCUAAUUUAUAUGUAUAUAUUUACAUUCCUCAUGAACUUCGAGAUGAAUGGUUCUACUACAAAAUCCUUCAUGGUUGCUUUGCAUUUUGUACAUGUGAUUGCCUUGCCUUCUUCCAUGACUUUGGAAAAUGAUCAUAUACCAAAUAGCAAUAGUAUUGCGGUUGUUUAA